CCUACGGGAGGCAGCAGUGGGGAAUCUUCCGCAAUGGGCGAAAGCCUGACGGAGCAACGCCGCGUGAUCGAAUGAAGGCCUUCGGGUUGUAAAGAUCUGUUGACAGGGACGAAUAAGCCAUGCGACUAGUUUGGUGUAUGACGGUACCUGUUUAGAAAGCUCCGGCUAACUACGUGCCAGCAGCCGCGGUAAUACGUAGGGAGCAAGCGUUGUCCGGAAUUACUGGGCGGAAAGGGGGGGUAGGUGGGGGCUUAAGUCAGGGUUGAAAACUCUGGGCUCAACCUGGAGACUGCACUUGAAAAUGGGUAUCUUAAGGGGAAGAGAGGAAAGGUGAAUUCCUAGGGUGGCGGUGAAAUGCGUAGGUAUUAGGAGGGACAGCAGAGGGGAAGGCGACUUUCUGGACUGUACCUGACGCUGAGGCGCGAAAGCGUGGGUAGCGAACGAGAUUAGGUACCCGAGUAGUC
rnacentral:rRNA from 1 species